rnacentral:rRNA from 1 species
AACGGCAGCAUAGGAGCUUGCUCCUUGGGUGGCGAGUGGCGGACGGGUGAGGAAAACGUCGGAAUCUGCCUAUUUGUGGGGGAUAACGUAGGGAAACUUACGCUAAUACCGCAUACGACCUACGGGUGAAAGCGGAGGACCUUCGGGCUUCGCGCAGAUAGAUGAGCCGACGUCGGAUUAGCUAGUUGGCGGGGUAAAGGCCCACCAAGGCGACGAUCAGUAGCUGGUCUGAGAGGACGACCAGCCACACUGGAACUGAGACACGGUCCAGACUCCUACGGGAGGCAGCAGUGGGGAAUUUUGGACAAUGGGCGCAAGCCUGAUCCAGCAAUGCCGCGUGAGUGAAGAAGGCCUUCGGGUUGUAAAGCUCUUUUGUCAGGGAAGAAACGGUUUUGGCU